GAUGAACGCUGGCGGCGCGCCUAACACAUGCAAGUCGAACGAAUAAAGCACCUUCUGGUGUGUAUAAAGUGGCGAACGGCUGAGUAACACGCGGGCAACCUGCCCCCCUCAUUGGGAUAGCUACGGGAAAGCGUGGGUAAUACAUAAUACUUCGAGUCUUCCGCCUGGAAGACUCGAGGAAGACCCGGCGUUGUCGGAUGGGCGCGCGGCCUGUUGGCUUGCUGGUGGAGUAACGGCAUACCACGGCAAUGAAGGGUAGCUGUGUUGAGAGAACGACCAGGCAGAUGGGUACUGAGAGAGGGCGCAGACGCCUACGGGAGGCAGCAGUCGGGAGCCUGGCACAAUGGGGGAAAGCCUGAUGCAGCGACGCCGCGUGCGGGAUGAAGGCCUUCGGGUUGUAAACCGAUUUCAGCAGAGACGAGGCGAAAUUGACGGUACCUGCAGAAGAAGCCCCGGCUAACUACGUG
rnacentral:rRNA from 1 species